AUCCAGCUGACGAGUCCCAAGUAGGACAAAACUCACGUCCUAGAU
rfam:Schistosoma rodhaini strain Burundi genome assembly, scaffold: SROB_scaffold0005362